rnacentral:lncRNA from 1 species
GGCACCGAAAGUAGAAAGUAAUAUUGGUUGGCAAGUUGGGUUAAAAGUUGGCAUGGGAUAAUUGCAAUUUUGGUCCCUAAUUGUAUAGGGACAUUGCAAGUUGAUCCUUGAACCUCAACUAUAAAUAGGCCUAACCAUUGCGUACUUUCUUCAUCCCAUAAUUGCCAUUCUCUACUUAAGGCAUUAUUCUCUCUCUCUAUUUGUAAAUUUCACUUGUAAUUUUUAGAGUGAAAUAUAUUUGGUAGUGC